rnacentral:rRNA from 1 species
CCUACGGGGGGCAGCAGUAGGGAAUCUUCCACAAUGGGCGAAAGCCUGAUGGAGCAACGCCGCGUGGGUGAAGAAGGUCUUCGGAUCGUAAAACCAUGUUGUUAGAGAAGAAAGUGCGUGAGAGUAACUGUUCACGUUUCGACGGUAUCUAACCAGAAAGCCACGGCUAACUACGUGCCAUCAGCCGCGGUAAGACGUAGGUGGCAAGCGUUAUCAGGAUUUAUUGGGCGUAAAGGAAACGCAGGGGGCCUUUGACGUCUGAGGUGAAAGUCUUCGGUUUAACCGAGUCGGGCAUUGGAAACUGGGAGACUGGAGUGCAAAAGAGGAGAGUGGAACGCCAUGUGUAGCGGUGAAAUGCGUAGAUAUAUGGAAGAACACCAGUGGCGAAAGCGGCUCUCUGGUCUGUAACUGACGCUGAGGUUCGAAAGCGUGGGUAGCAAACAGGAUUAGAUACCCCUGUAGUC